CACGUAGGGCGCGAGCGUUGUCCGGAAUUAUUGGGCGUAAAGAGCUCGUAGGCGGCCUGUUGCGUCCGCUGUGAAAGCCCCGGGGCUUAACCCCGGGUCGGCAGUGGAUACGGGCAGGCUAGAGGUAGGUAGGGGAGAAUGGAAUUCCCGGUGUAGCGGUGAAAUGACGCAGAAUAUCGGGAGGAACACCGGUGGCGAAGGCGGUUCUCUGGGCCUGUACUGACGCUGAGGAGCGAAAGCGUGGGGGAGCGAACAGG
rnacentral:rRNA from 1 species